ACGGCCUUGACAUUUCAACGUGUAAACAUUUCUGAAAUCAUUUCAGAGAAGAAAAGGCAAAAUGAUGCCUUUUCAGUCGAUUGUCAGGUGUUUUCGGAUCCAUUUUUCAUGCUAGGAGACAAUUAUCAGACUAUAAAGGUUGGUUCUGUGCCAACACCUGUUGGGACCAUCUACAUCAAUCUGGCAUACAGAACAAAACUAUUGAUAACACCUCAAAAAUCCUGCAAGGCAAUUCCCAUUGAAGUGAAGGAUGAUCAUUUUAAGAAAGACAACAGUCCAAGACGACCAACUACUCCCAAACCAUGCUCAUUGGGCUUUAGAAGAAACAGUACAUCGGAGGAUUUGUUUGGGGACGGUGUUGAUGGACAAGACCUGUGUUCCACCACCUUCGACAACAGUCCAGGGGAAGCCUUCCUCCUCGGCAUGACACAACACGGACUGGUGCCACCCAACAUACAGCAGAAGACAGCCCUCAAAACAGACAACAGGGAGAAUAAUGAGGCUCCCAAAAAACAGGAAAAUGUUGAAAAGCAGCUCAGUUUCACUUCGUACCAAAAAGUUGGGGCAUUUGCUCAGAAUAGAAAUUCCAAGGAAAUCAACAAUACUGACUUAGAAGACGUACCAUUCCUAAACUUGCUGCAAGCGGAGGGCAAAUCUGAAGUUAAGAUGACAGUGCAAAGAGAACUGCAAAAUGAUAUCGAAUCUAAUGAACAAGUCUCCAGUAAUAAGUCGGAGGAAGAAAAAAGUUUGGAACAGGCCCUAUCACCCUCAGAAAGUAUAUCUAGUAACACAUCUGCCCCAGAUGACUUUGUUAUGGUGGAAUUGAAAACCCCAUUUGCUGGAGCAGAUCCAAACCAAGACUUGGGGAAAUUUUAUAGAGAAUGUCAAGGGGCUCCACAGCUGACUAUGUGUAGUGGUGAAACGAAUGUCACGGAGGCACUAGCAGAAAUUUCUAGUCAGAUACAAAUGUUCGAGUCCAACAUAGAAGGAUUUGAUGACUUUGUCACUUCUAUCACUGAAAGUGUUACUGUGGAAUAGACCCAAUAGACAAGUUUUGUGAUUCUUAAGAAGUAUAAAUUUAUAUUUGUCAACAGCACUAUCAUUCCUUUUAACAAUAUUCUUCAUAACAUAGUGAUACUCAUGAAUAUUUUAACUCCAAUGGGUUUCAUCAAUUACAUUGUAUUUGCCAGUCUUAAAUUGUCAUUGUAUAAGGUAAUAUGGUGAACAUAAUGAAAGUCACUGUAAAGUUUUUAUUUGCCAGACAUUGCCUAAAUAAAAUGGUUAUUUUAUAAAGGGAAAACAGCAGUUUACACCCAUUGACCCUUCGGUGACCUUGCAAAGGGAAAUAUUUUUUGUUAAUGUUGGAAAGUCAUCUGUUGAGAAAUUUGAGUGUCAUUGCUUUACAUGUGAUAAUUUGAAAUGUACAAAUGUAUUCUAGUCUGUGAGUUGAUGAACAUGUAUUAACCUUCUAUCUGUAAAAUUUUGCGUAUUUUUAUAGGUAUUGGACUCUACGUAUGAGAUAGCCUCAUCCAAAAAUACACAGUCAGUACGACACAAAAUUACAGAUACAUUUGAUAUUUAUACUAGGAUACAUUUAAUUUGAUAAAUAUUAAGUAAAAAAUAUUGUUAUAAUCAGAAAAUGUAAAAAUUUCAUAAUGAAAAAAUACAUCA
rnacentral:misc_RNA from 1 species